rnacentral:rRNA from 1 species
AUUGAACGCUGGCGGCAGGCCUAACACAUGCAAGUCGAACGAGUGGCGGACGGGUGAGUAAUGUCUGGGAAACUGCCCGAUGGAGGGGGAUAACUACUGGAAACGGUAGCUAAUACCGCAUACCAUCGGAUGUGCCCAGAUGGGAUUAGCUUGUAGGUGAGGUAACGGCUCACCUAGGCGACGAUCCCUAGCUGGUCUGAGAGGAGGACCAGGCACCAGGGAAAUGAGACACUGUCCAGACUGCUGCGGGAGGCAUAAGUGGGGAUUAUUGCACAAUGGGCGCAAGCCUGAUACAGCCAUGCCGCGUGUGUGAAGAAGGCCUUCGGGUUGUAAAGUACUUUCAGCGGGGAGGCGUUACCCGCAGAAGAAGCACCGGCUAACUCCGUGCCAGCAGCCGCGGUAAUAC